rnacentral:rRNA from 1 species
UACGUAGGGGGGCUAGCGUUGUCCGGAAUCAUUGGGCGUAAAGAGCGUGUAGGCGGCCCGGUAAGUCCGCUGUGAAAGUCGGGGGCUCAACCCUCGAAUGCCGGUGGAUACUGUCGGGCUAGAGUGCGGAAGAGGCGAGUGGAAUUCCUGGUGUAGCGGUGAAAUGCGCAGAUAUCAGGAGGAACACCAAUUGCGAAGGCAGCUCGCUGGGACGUAACUGACGCUGGAGACGCGAAAAGCGUGGGGAGCAAACAGG